CCUAUAAUGCAUGACUAUAAAUAUAAAUAUGCUCAAUGAAUUAUCAUAGACAUAAAAGGUGAUUCAAAGACUUCGGAUAGCACCACCCACCUGUAGUGGUGUCAAUCAACUAAGAUCAAUGUCUCGAAAUGCGUCGACGACUAGCUCUCACGACUCAGUGCAAAUAGAACUAGAACGGUCUCUACCGUAAUUAGCGCGUCGUCGACCUGUCGGAAUGUUAAUUUAGACUUUUGGGCAAGCUUUCCUCUCAUUCAAACAAGUAUAAAAGAGAUUAAACUUGAGUCAUUUCUCAUAUCUUACAAGUUAGCAUUUCCAUGCCAAAUAUCUAUGUAUAUGUAUUCAUUAUCAUUUAUAUAUACAAAUCAGUUCAAUGCUGAUUUCAGCAUCAAGCUGAAAUCUAGUCUCAUGCUGAGUUUUCAGCAAUUAUUAUAAAUACAGGACCAUUAGUUCUCAGCUAAGGUAAGUAAUUUACCUUAAUUCUCAAGCUCUACUAGCUGACUUUCACCUCGACAACUUCAAUCAGCUUGCAUUUCAAGUCUGAAAUUUCAGCAACAAGAACCCUUUUAUAAGUCAUCUCUAAAGCAAUUAAUUGGACUAUAACUAACCAUAGAACCCACUUUAUCUUAAUUCAAUAGUCCAGCUGACUAUUCUCAGCUCAAGGUUCCAAAUUCCUGCUCAAUAACUCCAACCACAGGAGUUUCCUCUAAUUCUGCUCCCACAUCUCAUCAAGACUUAAGUCCUGGCAGCAAGAAGGUCUUCAUUAACCUUGCUUUUAAGGUAAGUAAUUAAAUUGUAGUCAACGACUAAGUUAAACUUACCUUAAUUAGGUAGUCAUUUAGGAUGUCCUCAGCUGAAGCUUACUACCUAAUAGCUCUCAUGAUUUCAGUCCCAAAUCUGAAUUUCAGCAAUCAAACUCUUAGUUUGAUCCAUUCUAAAGCAACUACUUUAACUAUAACUCAAUAUAGAAUGAACUUACUUAAUUUGAUGCUGGAUAAACUUGCUUACUGCAUCAAAUAGCCCAUUCCUCUUCAAUUCGGCAACUCCAACUAAUAGGAAAUUCCUUCACAGCAGGAAUUUUAGCAUCUUACCUUCUUUUUCUCAGCUUUACUUAGUUCCCUGCACACAUAUAUACAAAUACUAAUUUAACUCAUGUAGAGGUAUUGCUGCUAUGCAAUUCUAUUAAGCCUAGCACAGGAGCAAUUACUCACUUUAAUUUCCAAACUUCCCUAAUCAAGGCAUCAACAUAGCAACCACAAUCAGCAUGGAAUCUUGAAUUCCAUACACAUCAAGCUCCCAAGCUGUACCAAGCUGGGUCUUCACUGGGCACCCUACGAGCAUCAGGUCAGCCCCAAACUCCAAACUCUCUCAGCUGAAAUCCCUUGCUUAGAUGGUGAUCCAAAUUAUAGAGCAACUCCAAUCAGCAAGGGUUCUUUACUUGGAUCAAAGCUUCUCCUCAGUCCACCACCAGCUGCCAACCUUUCUUCCUCAACCCCCCUUUUUUUUUCCGUAGCUUAGAGAGAAUGAGAGGAAAUAGAUGAUAAGGAGAGAAGGGAAAUGAACUCUCUGCCCCUGGACAUGUGUAUUCCACUAAGGGUGAAGGGAUAAGGGUGAAAAUUUGCACUUUAGCCCUUUAAUUUACUGAAAUUGCCUUGUUGGCAAUUGCUGCCCGCAAUUGCUGUACCGGUACAAGAAUCUGUACCGGUACAGGACAGCAGCAGCAGCAGCUCACAGCAGCAGCAUCAGCAGCUGCUCUCUACUCCUUUUUCUCACAUUUAAUUCCCUCCAAUUUCAUUCCAACACUUCUAAAAUCAUCCAAAGAAGCUUUUCAAGCUACCAAAUUAAUUUGAUAACAUCUAAUUCUCAGAUUUGCAUCAAUUUGAUCAUUUUAGAUCAAAUUAACUAGAAUUUCAGCACUCAAGUAACAAUGGAAAUUGGAGUUCUUUAUCACUUCAAUUCCAUUCGAGCCUACUCAUACACUUCCAAAUCUUGUCAAUUGAUGUCCUCAAGCUACUAAUUAAGUUUAGAAACCUUUAAUUUCCAUUUUAGCAUUAUUGUGGUCACUUUGAUCACAAUUAGCUCGAGACCAAUUUUCAAUGCAUUACAAUCUCCCCUCCUUAAAUAGUUUCGUCCUCGAAACUUAAAUUCAUACCUCAAUUCUCCUGGUUGAAUAGGUGAGGAUAGGAUUCACGCAUAGCUUCUUCCAAUUCCUAAGUGGCCUCUCGUCCUGAGUGAUUGCUCCAUUGUACUUUCACAUAGGGGAUAGUGCGAUUUCGCAGCUCUCGCACUUCUCGAUUAAGGAUACAUACUGGAUACUCUUCAUAACUCAUAUCCUCUUGCAAUUCCACUGGUUCAAAUUCCAGAACAUGCCCUGAAUGAUGCACAUAUUUUCGAAGGUUCGAAAUAUAAAACACAUUAUGUAUUCCCUCGAACUUCGGCGGUAGAGCCAAUCGAUAGGCUACUGCUCCAACUCGCUCUAGGAUCUCGUAAGGUCCAAUGUAUCGAGGACUAAGCUUUCCUCGAACACCAAAUCUCUUUAUCCCACGCAUUGGCGACACUUUCAAGAACACCUUAUCGCCAACCGCAAACUCCAAGUUCUUUCGGCGCUUAUUUGCAUAACUCUGUUGUCGUGACUGAGCCGUCAGCAAUCUUUGGCGGACUAGGCGUACCUUUUCCUCCGCCUCCUAGAGUACAUCAGGACCAAGAACCAUUCUUUCUCCUACUUCACUCUAAUGGAUAGGGGAUCGACACUUUCUCCCGUAGAGGGCUUCAAACGGUGCCAUUGCGAUGCUUUCCUGAUAACUAUUAUCAUAUGCAAACUCAGCCAUCGUUAAGUAAUCAUGCCAACUCCCUCUGAAGUCAAGUACACAUGCCCGUAGCAUAUCCUCCAAAAUCUGAAUCGUCCUCUCAGACUGUCCAUCGGUCUGAGGAUGAAAAGCUGUACUAAAAUCAAGACGUGUGCCAAGAGCAUCUUGUAAACUCUUCCAAAAAUGAGAUGUAAACCGCGGAUCUCGAUCAGAUACAAUCGAUGUCGGGACUCCAUGUAAUCUCACGAUCUCGUCGAGGUAUAUCUGUGCUAACUUGCCCCCUGAGCAAGUAGCAUGAAUCGGCAAGAAAUGCGCCGAUUUUGUCAAUCGAUCAACAAUCACCCAAAUGGUAUCAUGUCCAGCCUGUGAUCGGGGUAAUCCAACUAUAAAGUCCAUCGCAAUGUUCUCCCACUUCCGGACAAGAAUAGGUAAGCUUUGCAACUUUCCUGCAGGAAAUCGUCGCUCAGCCUUCACUUGCUGACAUGUCAAACACUGCGCCACAAACUGUCCAACAUCCUUCUUCAUCCCAGGCCACCAAUAAUGCACUUUAAGAUCUUUAUACAUCUUAGUGCCACCUGGAUGCACACUAUAAGGUGACUGAUGAGCCUCCUGUAAUAUAGCUCGCUGAAUCUCCUCAUCUUUAGGCACGCAUAAUCGGUUGCGAAACCGAAGUGCUUUGUCAGACCCCACGGUAAAAUCAUCACCACGCCCGCUCUCAACUUCACAACGCACCUUUUGAAGAUACGGAUCUAAAGAUUGCCGAUCUUUGAUCCGUUCCAACAAGGUCGGUUGAACAACUAGAGCGGCAAGAGUAGCUGGUACAUUUGGAGUUACUACUUCAAGAUCAAACCGCCGCAUUUCAUUCUGCAACGACGGUUGAUGGGUGAUCAUCAUAGCCAAGUUCUCCACUGACUUCCUACUCAAUGCAUCCGCAACCACAUUCGCCUUUCCUGGGUGGUAUAGAAUAUUAACAUCAUAAUCUUUCAACAAUUCUAACCACCGGCGUUGUCGCAUAUUCAGCUCUUUCUGGGUGAAUAAAUAUUUCAGGCUCUUGUGAUCAGUAUAGAUCUCGCAAUGCUCGCCAUAAAGAUAGUGUCUCCACAACUUCAGUGCGAAGAUCACCGCCGCCAAUUCCAGAUCAUGAAUAGGAUAAUUCCUUUCAUAGUUCUUCAGCUGGCGAGACGCAUAAGCAAUCACUCGACCACCCUGCAUAAGUACACACCCAAGUCCACUGUAGGAAACGUCACUAUAAACCACAAAACUCUCCCCCGAAAUCGGCAAGGCAAGAAUAGGAGUCGUAGUCAACCUUUCUUUCAACUCCCGAAAGCUACAAUCACAUUCUUCGCUCCACAUAUAUUUAGUUCCUUUAUGUGUAAGGCACAUUAGUGGAGUAGUAAUCUUUGCAAAUCUCUCCACGAACCGCCUGUAAUACCCUGCUAAUCCAAGAAAACUGCGGAUCUCAGCAACAGUCGUCGGGCGAGGCCAAUCUUUAAUUGCCUCCACUUUCUUUGGGUCAACAGCUACACCACCCUCAGAAAUCACAUGCCCCAAAAAUGCUACCUCUCGCGGCCAGAAAUCAUAUUUCUUCAAUUUAGCAUACAACUGCUUCACCCGCAAAAUCUGCAUCACCGUUCUUAAGUGUUCUUCGUGCUCCUCAUUACUUCGAGAAAAGAUCAGAAUAUCAUCUAUAAAUACCACUACACACUGAUCCAACAGCGGCUUAAAGAUUCUAUUCAUUAGAUCCAUAAAUGCUGCAGGGGCAUUGGUCAGCCUAAACGGCAUCACUGUAAACUCAUAGUGACCAUAACGAGUGCGGAGCGCUGUCUUAUGCACAUCUUCUGGUUUGAUCUUCAGUUGGUGGUAACCCGAUUGAAGAUCAAUCUUCGAAUACACCCGUGAUCCUUGCAAUUGAUCAAAUAAGUCAUCAAUUCGCGGCAAUGGAUAUUUAUUCUUAAUCGUGAUCUUGUUCAGUUCACGGUAAUCGACACAAAGUCGAAGCGUUCUGUCUUUCUUCUGUACAAACAGAACUGGGGCUCCCCACGGUGAUACACUAGGCUUCACAAAGCCUUUAUCGAUCAAAUCCUGCAACUGAGCUUUCAGCUCUCUCAACUCAACUGGUGCCAUUCUGUACGGAGCCUUCGAAAUUGGCGUCGUCCCGGGAACCAAGUCAAUAACGAACUCAAUUUUCCGAUCCGGUGGCAAUCCCGGUAACUCCGCAGGAAACACAUCAGGAAACUCUCGAACCACUGGAAUAUCACUCAGUGCUGGAAGUUCUUUUUGAGUCUCCACUACAGUCGCCAAAUAAGCCGCACAUCCACUACUAAUUAACUUUCUUGCCCUCGUCGACGAUACAGUCAGUGCGAAGAGCGAACUCUUGCAUGCUCGAUAUACAACUUCCUUCUGCCCGGGUUCACGAAAAGUAAUAAUUUUACUUUCGCAAUCAAUCGUGGCAUAGUACUUUGUAAGCCAAUCCAUCCCAAGGAUCACAUCAAAACCUUUCAUGCGGCUUAACACUAGCAGAUCUGCUGGCAUGAUCCAAUCACCAAUCUGUACUGGACAUGCCGCACACACUUCAUGGACACUAAAUGUGUGCUCAGGGGCAUACACCCACCAGGCAUCCGCACUAUCCGAAAUCUCAAUAUCAUGCGUCUUAGCAAAUGAGCUACUGAUGAAUGAAUGCGAUGCACCUGUGUCAAAUAAUGCACGAGAUCUAGUGCCAUAAAGUAAAACAAUACCCGCCACGACGUCCUCAACUACGGCCGGCUCCUCUGCCUGGGCUGCAAAUACACGACCACUCGGUGCAGAUCGAGGUGUGUCCAUACGGGUACUCGACGCAGGUCGGGGUGGCUCAUACUGGCGCGGCACAAAAGUACGCCCAGCUGACAUAGCGGGUGGGAGACCCGUACGCUGUCUCGAAGGUGACUGAACAGAAGCUGUCGACGGUGCAGAUGAUGCUCCCCUCGGGCAAUCACGAAUCAUAUGUCCCGGCUGCCCACACUUGUAACACUUGCCCUCACGUUGUGAACAAGCCGACGGUCGAUGAUUCCCGCCACAAAUCACACACCUCGGGGGUCCCUGAGACCUCGACUGGGAACGUGGGUACCGAGGGGGCCGCUUAGAGCUCGACUGACCCCCGGCACCACUAGUAGUACUUUUCUUUCCUUUUUCUCUUUCUCGUUCUCUUUCAAACGAUUCGCGUUCAUCACGCGCAAUCGCAUUCCCGCGCUCAACCCAAAGAGUCAAUCCAGGACCUCCUCAAAUGUCUUUAACUUCAGAGCUUUGACCGUCCUGAAUAUAUCAGGUCGCAACCCCCGCUCAAAGUACUCUGCUCGAUCUCGAUCCGUAUGAACCAUACCAGGCACACAGUUCACCAAAUGAGUAAAUUCCCGUUCGUACUCCCGUACCGAACGAUUUUCCUGUCUCAACUUGCGAAAGUCUUCCUUCAUUUUCCUUUUAUCGCUGUCGGGAAAGUACUCCAUAAAUAACAUCUCACGAAACUCCUCCCAAGUGAGCGGUGGUAGGUUUGAUGCCCGCUUUUUCUUGGCCUUUUGCCACCAGAUCUGAGCAUCUUUCUCAAAGCAGUGUGCCGCCAAAGGGACCUUAUCCCUUUCCAAAGUAUAAAUGUCCUCGAAUAAUGCCUCCAUCGCUGUAAGCCAUGUCUCCAAUACCCAAGGAUCAACUUCUUUUCCAUCAAACAUAGGCGGAUUAAACCGCAUAAAUGCCUCUAAUACCUUCACAAAUCGCGCACGCUCAGCCUCUAACGCGGUCACAUCAGAAUCAGAGGGCCCAGAAACCACUGGAGGAACAGUCGGCGGAACAGGAGGCACGAUCGUCGGCGCCUCAGAUAUAGGUACAUCCUGACUCCCAGGUGCUGCUGUCGUCGCCUGUCGCGACAUUAGAUCCUGUAGACUCUUUAUAUGCUCCUCCCGUCUCUUCAUAGCCCCGACUAACGCGCUCACCUGAGCACGCAACUCCUGAACAUCAUCAGACCCAGACUGCUCUGGCACCUCAGAAGGUGAUGCCGGAGUGGAUCUCGUCGCACGUCGCGGUAGCAUUUCUCCUGAAACGAACCAUUCACAUUAGUAAAACAAAACCAAUCAGGCGAAAGCAAUCAAGAGUAUUUAUACUCAACCUUUGGCUUUAUGUUGUUGGCCACCCAACAUAACUCUUUUAAUUGUGUAUAAAUAACACUUGGAUCAGCCCCUAAUUAAUAUUAGAGACUUACUAACAACUAACCCAAUUCAUUUGGCUUUCGCUAUCAUUAAAUUCACGCCACUCACGUUCCUGGUUCCUAGGUUUCCAAUCCUAAGUCCCUUAGGUCAUCCUAGACUUUUACUAUCAUGUCCCCUAGGUCAUCCUAGACUUUUACUAUCACUUGCUCUGAUACCACUUUAUCUGUCACGUCCCGCCAUCGCCAAUUUGGUCGAUUCGGGCCCGUACACAGACGCCGAACGGACAGAACCUCCUCUGUCCGCCCAAGGCUUAACAACAACGAGUACAUGUAUAAAGAAAUAAACAAUUCCCAAGAUAACAUUUCAAUAUACAUGGCUUGCACGAUGGCAAGCAAUAAUCAUAAGUGAUAGUAAGCUAGCUAUACUGAAAAUUCACUGUAAUUUAAAACUUUGAACUGAACUGUAUGAAACUAAAUAACUGAAACAUUUAGUUAUUUACAUUCUCUUAAAUACAUUCAUUUUCAUGUCUCUAUACAUCAAAAUAGAUGAUACAUGAUCUCAAAAUGGUAAACAACUAUACUCUGGUGUCAGCUAGUUAAACUGAUGGGCUCUUGUCGCGAUCCUCGGCCACACCGCUCGCACUGGAACCUGUAUGGUUAGUGGUGUGAGAACUACAAAUAAGUUUCCAGUGGGUUCAGCCGCCGACCUAGCCGACUCACCCACUAGGUCUAUUCAGGCAUAUGUAGGCAAAAGAAAUAAACAGAUAGUAACCAACUAUAAUAUGUAACUACUACAAUGCCUGUACAAAGCUGAAAGAAGCAAUAUAUGAAAAUUGUAAAUAUGCAUGCAUAUUGUAAUAUACCACUGCCCAAUCAAUCUAGCUAACCAUUUGGUUAACUACAACUCACAAACUCAAUCCCUAGCGGGCCCUAAGCUGCCUCCCGACGGGACCGUCUGCUGGACAGAUACUUUAGUCCAUGGGCAAAUACUUUAGCCCAUCAUGUGACAACCUCCGGAGUGCACUGCUUGGGUGGAGCGACCACCACCAAGCUCAAAACAGACUAUGUGAGUAUGAUCUGAUCCUCCUUUAGAGGAUUCAACAAUAGACAAUGUCACACUUUAACUCUACUAGCUCUUUAUGCUAGUUGCAAUUACAUUCCUCGAUGCUAACCAAAUCUCUAGUUAGAAUGUCACCAAGUUCACUAUUGUUAUAGUCUAUAUAUUCAUAGGGUUCUAUGUUCACAUUCAAAGGUUCACAAUUCUCACUAUUGAUAGGAAUUCACACUUUCAUUUGCACAAUGCCAAAAUACCCUAUAAUGCAUGACUAUAAAUAUAAAUAUGCUCAAUGAAUUAUCAUAAACAUAAAAGGUGAUUCAAAGACUUCGGAUAGCACCACCCACCUGUAGUGGUGUCAAUCAACUAAGAUCAAUGUCUCGAAAUGCGUCGACGACUAGCUCUCGCGACUCAGUGCAAAUAGAACUAGAACGGUCUCUACCGUAAUUAGCGCGUCGUCGACAUGUCGGAAUGUUAAUUUAGACUUUUGGGCAAGCUUACCUCUCAUUCAAACAAGUAUAAAAGAGAUUAAACUUGAGUCAUUUCUCAUAUCUUACAAGUUAGCAUUUCCAUGCCAAGUAUCUAUGUAUAUGUAUUCAUUAUCAUUUAUAUAUACAAAUCAGUCCAAUGCUGAUUUCAGCAUCAAGCUGAAAUCUAGUCACAUGCUGAGUUUUCAGCAAUUAUUAUAAAUACAGGACCAUUAGUUCUCAGCUAAGGUAAGUAAUUUACCUUAAUUCUCAAGCUCU
rnacentral:lncRNA from 1 species